GUAAGGAAUAUUGGUCAAUGGACGAAAGUCUGAACCAGCCAUGCCGCGUGGAGGAUGAAGGUCCUCUGGAUUGUAAACUUCUUUUAUAUGGGACGAAAAUGGGGCUUUCUAGCUCAACUGACGGUACCAUAUGAAUAAGCACCGGCUAACUCCGUGCCAGCAGCCGCGGUAAUACGGAGGGUGCAAGCGUUAUCCGGAUUCACUGGGUUUAAAGGGUGAGUAGGUGGAUUGGUAAGUCAGAGGUGAAAUCUCCGGGCUCAACUCGGAAACUGCAUUUGAUACUAUCAAUCUUGAAUAUUGUAGAGGUUAGCGGAAUAUGUCAUGUAGCGGUGAAAUGCUUAGAUAUGACAUAGAACACCAAUUGCGAAGGCAGCUGGCUACACAUAUAUUGACACUGAGGCACGAAAGCGUGGGGAUCAAACAGGAUUAGAAACCCUUGUAGUCC
rnacentral:rRNA from 1 species